ensembl:lncRNA
CUCCUGCCCCGUGUGAGCACCCCAAAACUGGGGCGGGACACCCAGGCAGUGGGGGGACCCCAAAAUCGGGGGGGGGGGGGGGGCGCGCAGGCAGCUGUGGGACACCCCAACAGCAGGGCAGGCACCGAGACCUAAGAGGGACCCCGAAAUCUGCAGGGGGAUCGCGGGUGUUGGGGACACCCCAAGAGGUUCAGGAACACCUCCCCCAAACCCCGUGGGGGGCACCCCAAAACCGGGGCGGGGACCUUCAGCCCGUGGGUGCAGCAGGACCCCGUUCCCAGUCUGGGGUGCACUGGGGGGCUACUGGGGGGUACCCCGAGUCUCGGGGGGGCCCCCCGUGACCCCGAUUUUGGGGUGCAGGACCUCAAACCAGCCAAUCUGCUGCUGGACAGCGCCGGGCGCCUCAAGCUGGCGGAUUUUGGGCUGGCGCGGGUGCUGGGCCCCCCCCCGGGGCGCCCCUACAGCCACCAGGUGGCCACCAGGUGGUACCGAGCCCCCGAGCUGCUCUACGGCGCCCGGCACUACGACGAGGGCGUGGAUCUGUGGGCCGUGGGCUGCAUUUUUGGGGAGCUGCUGACCCUGUCCCCGCUGUUCCCGGGGGAGAACGACAUCGAGCAGCUCUGCUGCGUGCUCAGGGGCCUGGGCACCCCCAGCCCCCGCGACUGGCCGGAGCUGGCGGAGCUGCCGGACUUCCCGAAGCUGCGGUUCCGGCCGCAGCCGCCGCCGCCGCUGGAGCUGCUGGUGCCGGGCGCCGACGCGGCCGCGCUGGACCUGCUGCGGCGGCUGCUGCGCUACCGCGCCCGCCUGCGGCCCCGGGCACACCAGGUCAGGGCAGGGGGGCACUGGGGGGACUUGGGGGGUCCUGGGGGGCAUUGGGGGGUCCCAGAGGGGCUUGGGGGGGUCCCAGGGUGCCCCUGAUGGAGCCCCGGAUCAGCCCCGCUGCGGUGCCCGCUGCAGCUCCUGGCACACUGGGUGAGGGCAGGGGGGCACUGGGGGGUCCUGGGGGGGGGGGGUUUGGGGGGUCCCAGAGGGGUUUGGGGUUCCGGGGUGCUCCUGGCUGGAGCCCCCCAUCAGCCCUGCUCAGGUACCAGGUGAGACCCUGGGCGGGUUUGGGGAGAUUUGAGGGGAUUUGGGGGGUCUGGGGGUCCCAGGAGGCCGGGGGGGUUCAGGGGAGGGGCCCCGGUGGGUUUGGGGGGGUCCCAGAGAUUUGGGGGUCCCAGAGGUACCAGGAGGUUCUGAGGUGUGUUUGGGGGGGGGGGGGGUCUCAGGGAUUGGCGGCCCCAGGACCCUCGCUGGGGGGGGUCACUCAGUUCCCCCUCCUUUCCCCAUUUUGGGGGGAGGUCCUGCCGCCCCCUGAGCGCUCCCCUCCCCCCAGGCCCUGCUGCACCCCUUCUUCUUCGGCCCCCAGGAGCUGACCCCGCCCCCGCCCCCGGGGGGGCCCCGGCAGCCCCCCGACUUCAGCCUGGACACAGCCCUGGAGCUGCCCCCCCGCGCGGCCCUGAGACCCCUCCCCGUGCUGGGAGACCCCCGGGAGACCCCCACUGACCCCCCCGUAAUGGGGGACCCCCUGGGAGACCCCCACUGACCCCCACUGACCCCCCCAUAAUGGGGGACCCCCGGGAGACCCCCACUGACCCCCACUGACCCCCCUGUAAUGGGGGACCCCCACUGACCCCCCCUUGCUGGGAGACCCCCACUGACCCCCCCAUAAUGGGGGACUCCCACUGACCCCCACUGACCCCCCUGUAAUGGGGGACCCCCUGGGAGACCCCCACUGACCCCCACUGACCCCUCCAUGCUGGGGGACCCCCACUGACCCCCCCAU